CGGCGUGCUUAACACAUGCAAGUCGAACGGAAAGGCCCUGCUUUUGUGGGGUGCUCGAGUGGCGAACGGGUGAGUAACACGUGAGUAACCUGCCCUUGACUUUGGGAUAACUUCAGGAAACUGGGGCUAAUACCGGAUAGGAGCUCCUGCUGCAUGGUGGGGGUUGGAAAGUUUCGGCGGUUGGGGAUGGACUCGCGGCUUAUCAGCUUGUUGGUGGGGUAGUGGCUUACCAAGGCUUUGACGGGUAGCCGGCCUGAGAGGGUGACCGGCCACAUUGGGACUGAGAUACGGCCCAGACUCCUACGGGAGGCAGCAGUGGGGAAUAUUGCACAAUGGGCGGAAGCCUGAUGCAGCAACGCCGCGUGCGGGAUGACGGCCUUCGGGUUGUAAACCGCUUUCGCCUGUGACGAAGCGUGAGUGACGGUAAUGGGUAAAGAAGCACCGGCUAACUACGUGCCAGCAGCCGCGGUGAUACGUAGGGUGCGAGCGUUGUCCGGAUUUAUUGGGCGUAAAGGGCUCGUAGGUGGUUGAUCGCGUCGGAAGUGUAAUCUUGGGGCUUAACCCUGAGCGUGCUUUCGAUACGGGUUGACUUGAGGAAGGUAGGGGAGAAUGGAAUUCCUGGUGGAGCGGUGGAAUGCGCAGAUAUCAGGAGGAACACCAGUGGCGAAGGCGGUUCUCUGGGCCUUUCCUGACGCUGAGGAGCGAAAGCGUGGGGAGCGAACAGGCUUAGAUACCCUGGUAGUCCACGCUGUAAACGGUGGGUACUAGGUGUGGGGUCCAUUCCACGGGUUCCGUGCCGUAGCUAACGCUUUAAGUACCCCGCCUGGGGAGUACGGCCGCAAGGCUAAAACUCAAAGGAAUUGACGGGGCCCCGCACAAGCGGCGGAGCAUGCGGAUUAAUUCGAUGCAACGCGUAGAACCUUACCUGGGUUUGACAUGGAUCGGGAGUGCUCAGAGAUGGGUGUGCCUCUUUUGGGGUCGGUUCACAGGUGGUGCAUGGCUGUCGUCAGCUCGUGUCGUGAGAUGUUGGGUUAAGUCCCGCAACGAGCGCAACCCUUGUUCACUGUUGCCAGCACGUUAUGGUGGGGACUCAGUGGAGACCGCCGGGGUCAACUCGGAGGAAGGUGGGGAUGACGUCAAGUCAUCAUGCCCCUUAUGUCCAGGGCUUCACGCAUGCUACAAUGGCUGGUACAGAGAGUGGCGAGCCUGUGAGGGUGAGCGAAUCUCGGAAAGCCGGUCUCAGUUCGGAUUGGGGUCUGCAACUCGACCUCAUGAAGUCGGAGUCGCUAGUAAUCGCAGAUCAGCAACGCUGCGGUGAAUACGUUCCCGGGGCUUGUACACACCGCCCGUCAAGUCAUGAAAGUUGGUAACACCCGAAGCCGGUGGCCUAACAGAGGUGGGGGAGCCGUCGAAGGUGGGACUGGU
rnacentral:rRNA from 1 species